rnacentral:miRNA from 1 species
UGUGUCUGUGUACGUGUGUCUGCAUGUACAUGUGUGUGUCUGUGUGUCCGUGUGAUGCGUGUGUCUGUGUCUGCGUGUCCAUGUGUCUUCGUGUCCAUGUGUCUGUGUGUACAUGU